rnacentral:lncRNA from 1 species
AAGGUUAUGAUGAGCUGUGCAACUGUCUUGUUUAUCCACAGUUCGCUGUUUCAUUGCAGCGCCCCUUGUCACAAAAAGAAUUUAACCAUUUACAGAGCAGUGCCAGGAACAUCCAUCCGGGUGACUCUUCCACCUUGAAUUCAAGGUGAGUUGCUCUACUGAUUUCCAUCUUAUUUCCCUCAUGGUUUGGGUUGGAAAUGGUGAGGAGCUCUGAUGAGCUCCAUGUAACUGAUAUGAGGUUAAGUGGCAUUUCCACUGACUUUCAAAGGGUUAUGUGCAAACAGUCCUGGCUGUCUUUCUCUGUAGUCUCUUGGAUCCAAGGGUUUUGGCUUUCAAUCUUCGCCUUGCACUCUGCCAAAACCUCUAGUCAGUGUUUGUGCUUUGGUGGCGCUCAGUGUGAUGGAUAAAUUCUCACUUACCCUUCUAGGAGGAGGUGAAGAGGAAAGCUGAAGUCUUUAAUCUGCCUGUGAACAAAAACAGCUUGUGGCGGAUGUGAAUGGCUGAGUAGCGAUAUGCAAGCUACCCUGAAAGUACACAGAAUGGUCAGCUUUGGCACAGCAGCGCCGUACUGGCUGAAGGAUGAUUCACAUAUCUGAAAAAUAAAAGGAGCUUCACCUCAAAUAGAACCAUUUUUUGUGCUUAUUGUUAUCAGUGUGAUUAAACCUCCCGCCCCUGUCUGAGGCUGCAGACUGGUGAACAUCAGCCAUUCUCAGAGACAGCAGAGCCAGAAUUACCUGUGGCUGCUGAGGGGAUCUGGGACAGUCUGGCUAAGGAGAGUGCAGUAUGCUUAACCUGCUGGCUGGGCUGAAACACAGAAUGGCUUCCACUGAAGAUGUAUAUGGAAUCAGAGAGCUAUUCCACACCUGUAAACUGGACAACCAUCGUGCAUUCAUCUCUCGAGCUGAUUUUCACGGCCUUUGGUACGUUCACAUCUACAAAUCUGGCCCUGGAUAUCUCAAAUUGUGAAACAAUUUACCAUGGAAAAGCUGCUCCAGGCUAUGAUGAGCCACCACUCAUGCCUGCCACCAAUUUCAAAGGAUUUCGUGAACAUCAGUAUCAUUUGGAAUGCUUUUAUCAAAAGGUGUAUUGUCUACAGAAGGGCUCCUGUGAGUUGGAAGGCACUAGGUGGCAUUUUCAAAAUGGUCUGUGUAGCAUAGGAUCUCGGGUCCCAGUGAACAUCAGUAAAGAAGGGUGUCUUGGUCAUUGA